ACUGCUGGGCUUGAGUACAGUUGAGGUAGGCGGAAUGUGUAGUGUAGCGGUGAAAUGCUUAGAUAUUACACAGAACCCCGAUUGCGAAGGCAGCUUACUAAACUGUAACUGACACUGAGGUACGAAAGCGUGGGGAGCGAACAGGAUUAGAUACCCUGGUAGUCCACGCCGUAAACGAUGCUCACUCGCUGUAUGCGAUACACAGUAUGCGGCCAAGCGAAAGUAUUAAGUGAGCCACCUGGGGAGUACGUUGGCAACAGUGAAACUCAAAGGAAUUGACGGGGGCCCGCACAAGCGGAGGAACAUGUGGUUUUAUUCGAUGAUACGCGAGGAACCUUACCUGGGCUUAAAUGCAGGACGACAGGCGUCGAAAGAUGCUUUUCCUCGGACGGCUUGCAAGGUGCUGCAUGGUUGUCGUCAGCUCGUGCCGUGAGGUGUCGGGUUAAGUCCCAUAACGAGCGCAACCCUUACCGUUAGUUACCAUCAGGUUAUGCUGGGGACUCUAGCGGGACUGCCACCGUAAGGUGAGAGGAAGGUGGGGAUGACGUCAAAUCAGCACGGCCCUUAUGUCCAGGGCUACACACGUGUUACAAUGGCCAGUACAAAGGGCAGCUACCAGGCGACUGGAUGCUAAUCUCUAAAGCUGGUCUCAGUUCGGAUCGAAGUCUGCAACCCGACUUCGUGAAGCUGGAUUCGCUAGUAAUCGCGCAUCAGCCAUGGCGCGGUGAAUACGUUCCCGGGCCUUGUACACACCGCCCGUCAAACCAUGGAAGCUGGGGGUACCUGAAGUCUGUGACCGCAAGGAGCGGCCUAGGGUAAAACUAGUGACUGGGGUUAAGUCGUAACAAGGUAACC
rnacentral:rRNA from 1 species